UUAGAAUUCCGUCCGCGAUGCAAACCCCUAGAAAAAAAAUACCAGAGAAAAGGGGAUUGACGAGCGACGCAGGCGCGGCAGCGGGGCUUGUCGGCGGCGAGGCGGAGAAGGAGCGGGGAUUGAGGCUCGUGGAGGACCGGAUCCAGCGAGGGGAAGAUCGGAUUCGUCGGUUGGCGAUGCAGGCGCAGCCGCGGGGCUUGCCGGCGGUAAGGCGGAGAAGGAGCGCGGCGGCAGGGUGGCUUGAGGCUCGUGGUGGACCGGAUCCAGCGAGGGGAAGGUCGGAUCCGUCGGCUGGCGACGCGAGGAUCUCGAGCGCCAUGGGAGUUGCUGGCGACGGAGCUCGUCAAUGGCGGCCACUUCCCGGUGACACAACCCCUGCGCCUAGCCUCCCCAACCUGCUCUCCACGCGCCCCCGUGAUGCCGUUGCGUGCAGCAGCCUCCCCAAUCCUCCUCAUCAUGCGCCGCUGCCUGUCAAUAUUGGAUUUUACUUUCCGAUUCUCAUUUCAAGUUCUGCACGAAAGAAACACGGAGAGGACAGUGAAGGAAGAUGGCAAUAGCAGCGGCGGCGGUGACGCAGCCACGGUCUCGACAAAACUUGAUUAGAUUACUACUGCAUUACUAAAUUGUGCAAGUAGGACUCUUUCACAAAUCAUGUCAAUGAGGCUAGCAAUUUGAAGAGGCUGCUGCACAUGAUCUGAAGAUAUUGGCAUAUACAGUCCUGAACAUAAGUUUCAAAAUAACAGGUUGAAGGUGUGGAGUUUAGCCCUGUUCCGCUGUAAGGAAAUCCAUGACCUCCACAGAAAUGAUGCAAGUGGAAACAAGCUAGACUCACAACAAAUAGUACCCUGGUACUGACAGGUUAGCACUAUAUCAGUAUACUUGUUCAGCCUUUCCAUGUGCUGGUCCGAAUAUUUAAACAAGGAAGCAGGCUUAGUUGCUCACCCACCUACUAUUGCUGCCAACAAGUAGCCAGAAGCCCAUAGAAGAUAUCUGCAUUUCAUCCUAAUCUGGUUCCUACAUAUUCAAGAUGUGGAGAUUAGCUCUUUGCUCCAACAAAGCCAUGGCCUUCAAUUUUGUUGUUAAUUUAACUGCCGAUCGAUCGGUCUAUAAUAGUUAAUUUGGUUUCCUGUGAACUGAAGCUUCCUAUUUUUCAUGAUUAUAUUAAGAGCUUCCUUUUUUCAUGAUUAUAUUAAGAACUCACGGAACUCCUUCACCUCACACCUGACCGGCACAUCAUCCAGAUGCAAGAGACCCCUACUACUGCAUCCACCCUAAAAUCAAUCUAAAAAGGAAAUUUAUAACCCAAUAUCUCCGUCUCCCGUGAACCAGUGCAUUGCAUGUGGAAGUAAUCUGGGUUGAACCUACUUGAGGUCUUCCAUCACUUUUAUUACUUCAACAUAAAUUGUAUACAUUGUACAAACUACCCAUUAAUUAGGAGCUGAUAUAUAUGAUGCAUGGUUGAUAAUAGCUACUUCAGCUUAUCCCUUCUACUUCAGCUCUCAAGCACGAGAUCCCCUAGGCAUCUCAUCUGUCCUUGCAGGCAUGUGUUAUUCCUCCUCUCAUUAGAUCAUCCUGUGCCAGAUACGCUAGAGUUGUACUCCCUCUGUAAACUAAUAGUGAUCUAAAAGUUACAUUAGUUUGCAAAUAUAGUACAUGAUAUCUUGCAAGGCCUGACUAAUAAGUAGGCGUGGCUUAAGAUGCUUCUGGAGACUCAUUGGAAUGGUGGAAUUCACUCGGACUAUCAUAUGAGCAUAAUAGACUAUGAGCAUUAUUCAGAUUAUGAUGAAUGAGAAGUGAAGGUCUGAAUGUCAAGCAGAAAAUACAGUGCUAAAUAUUCAGUCAAGGAAGAGCAAGAAGUAUAUAUCUUCUCAUGUAUAUUACGAAGAAAUUCUUCACAUGUUUUCCUUUUUCAUAUAAGGUUCAAAGUGAUCAGGUACGGCUCAUGGGCUGCUACAACCAUUAGUGGGGCAAAAGGGUUGUGCGUGCACAUGCUUAUUAAUUCAAGGCAGGAUUAUGGGAGAUAGUGCAUGGUCCAGAUGAAUAGAUGGAACCCGUCCAGAGAAAAGAAAAAGGAGAACAAGUUCCAGAAGAAGAUUGUUCUUCGUAAACAAGUACUACCUUCGUCCCAAAAUAAGAGGGAGUGAAUGGUACAUCAUAUGUAACAGGAGAAUGGUGGCAUGUCAAGAUCAGGUAAGAACUAUGAUGCCUGUGCACUUGCUGAAUAAAGAUGAUUGUGAUGGCCUUAUUCCUUGGAUGGGUGGGGAGCUUCAACCUGGUACGUAGCUUAUUACCUCCUACUUUUUGCACCUACAAAAAAUUAUGUACAUUGAUAUAUGUGGUCUAAUCAGUACCGUGCAUCAUAACCUAUCCUUCGUUUUACUGAAGUUUUUAGUUAUUUAUUUCUUGGCCAAACAAAUUCCCUUUCGUAUGUAAGAUACAAUUGAUCAUCAUGAAUAAGAAGUACCUCAUUGUGAUCUAUUUGUUACUGAGAACGUCAAGUAAAAAAAAUGAAAUUAUUGGCAUUGGACUCUUAAACUUUUCUCCAUGUAUGUACAGACCUCAAAUCUGAAGUAGUUUUUCCUAUGUAUAUAUAGGCAGUCGACAAGAUAGCCACACAAAAUUUCUGGUGAAUAUACAUGGCUAACAUUUUAUUAAAAAAUGUUACAUCAUCAUACAACUGUUAUGCUGUCAGCGAUGCAUCCGGCGGUGGCGGAAAUGCACAUACUUGGGGGCGCCUCGAUCGAUAUGGCUGUUGGCUCGCGUGUUCCCCUUGGCCAAAUUGUUGGGUAGAGGAGGAGUAGGCGGCCAGGGUGAAUAAAUGGUGCCUCGAGGAGUUUCUCGAUCGUGCUUUUUCCAUCCUGUAGAUGGUUCAGUGGAUCGUGAGGUUUUAUGUAAGGUAUUACAUGUAAUUAAUUUUUUGGUUGGAUGGAUGCAAAAAACAAAUCUUGUACUUAACUCAUCUGGAUUGUUUGUGCACAAUUACUAGAGAAGAGAGGGGGUGGUUGAAAACAGAAGAUAAAGAAGAAUAGAAGUGUUUUUAUCGUGCA